GAUGAAGAACGCAGCGAAAUGCGAUAAGUAAUGUGAAUUGCAGAAUUCAGUGAAUCAUCGAAUCUUUGAACGCACCUUGCACUCCUUGGUAUUCCGAGGAGUACGCCUGUUCGAGUGUUAUGAAGCUCUCAAAACGCAAUUGGCUUAAAUCCUGAUUGUUGUUUUGGAUUUGAACUUUGCCGUGUUAUAACGGCUGGUUUUAAAAGUAUUAGCUGGUACUAGAACGAAUUGGUUCUACUCAACGUGAUAAUUAUCUGAUCGUUGAGGACAUUCCUUUCACGAGGAAUGGCCAUAGUAAAUUCAAUGGACUGCUUAUAAUCUGGCUUUAAUUCUUUAUUGGAUUAACCACUUUUCAAAUCUGACCUCGAAUCAGGUGGGACUACCCGCUGAACUUAAGCAUAUCAAUAAGCGGAGGA
rnacentral:misc_RNA from 1 species